rnacentral:lncRNA from 1 species
GCUGGUUCUAGACUCGUAGUCAGAGCAGCCGAAGAUGCGGCUCCUGAAACAUCUUCUUCAGAAGGUGCUCCAGCAACUGCCGUGGCUCCGGCUGCAGCUGCCGCCACCAAGCCAAAGCCACCUCCGAUCGGCCCUAAGAGAGGGUCCAAGGUCAGCUUAACCUAAACCAUAUUUGCAUCUACUAACAUGCACAUACAUACGCCAGAUUUAUCGAAUCGAUAAGGGCUUCGUAUGUCUAUGAAAAAAUAUUAUUUGUAUUACUUUGAUAUUCUUUGUUUUUAGUGCAAUACUUUAAUAUACAAUUGGUAAAUGGUUAGUGAAAUGGAGAUAUAUUAACAAAAUCAUUAUGCACAAUUGUAUUUGAGUUACUUUAGUAUUUGGUUAAAGUCGAUAUUUAAAUAAAUUGUUCUGGUUCGUAGGUCAAGAUCCUAAGGAGAGAAUCCUACUGGUUCAAGAACGUUGGAUCAGUUGUGGCUGUUGAUCAGGUAACACAUUGUAGUAUCUUAUCUAGUUAAAGAUCUAAGCGUCACAUAUUCAUUUUACCACACGAUUUGUUUAAUUUAUCUAACCUGGUUACAAACGUGCAGGACCCGAAGACCAGGUACCCUGUUGUGGUCAGGUUCGCGAAAGUGAAUUACGCCAACAUAUCGACCAACAACUAUGCAUUAGACGAGAUUGAAGAACUCAAAGCUUAAGUGAGAGUAAAAAAAAACAAUUGUGUGUUUGGUUUAAUGUUUAUACCAUUCUAUCUGUCUGAACUCGACCCGAACCGUAUGUACCGAAAAGUUUACCAUUUAUUUAUCUUUCAUCUCGAAUCGGUUUUCUAUAAUUCUUUUACAGACUCGCAUCAUUCUAUGAGACUAGUAUGGUUCUUUUGCCUGAGCAAGAGAUCAUUGGUCUCUGGAAAUCUCUGCAACUUUACCUCUGUUUAUGUAUUAUUUGAAUGAUGUUCUAGAAUGUGUAGACAAAAGAAAUCGCGGUUCAAUGUUUACAAAAGAGAGAGAGAAAAGUGGUUAAAACUCCUCCAAGCUCCAUAUGCAAAAAAUCUCCGAAGCCAGUUUCCAUCAUUUCCUCAAGUCUGAUCGGUUUUACCGUUGGCUUCAGCUAACAUCAGCUCCAGUUCUCCUUUCCUGUUCAGGUUUACUGUAUCUGUAGUACAACAACGAGAAGAUAAAGUACGCAGGGUAGGAUAUUAUAUUAUUCUUGAAUGUGGAGAAUCUACGACGAAAGAGAGACAGUUGGAACGUACCUGUGCAGCCACCAAUGUGCUUGCCUCCUGAUCAUUAGGAAAAAAGAUUUAGACACUGUUAUGUAUUGUCAUAAACAUUCUUUAGUUUUGUCUAUGCGCUCUUGAGUUUUCAAGCAAAGUAUUCACAAGUCAAUGAGGAUAUAUAUUGAUGCAAAAGGGUUUAAACUGCUUACCGACGAACACACUAGGAACAGUGCGUUGCCCAGUAAGUGUUUCCAGUACCUUCUGUAGUUGUGUCCCUUGUGGACCUGAAAAAUGAGACAGAGACUCAAAGUAAUGGAUAAAGAAUUUGAAUCAAGAAAUAUCUAAACAAUUGCAUCUUCAACUGUAGAGAGGACCACACUUACCAAACGAAACAUAAUUCUAGACUACUAAUUCUACAAGAAACAAAAGCAUUGUAUCACAAAUACCAAAUGCAGAUAAGAACCUCCAAAGUUCAAGGAGGAGCUAAAGACAAAGAUAUGAACUAAUUUGAAAAACCAAAAAAAAAAAAAACAAAUGAAAAUUGAGCCUAAAACGCAAUACUAAUGGAUACUUCGAAGUUCUAACUAAUAAAAAGACAUUAUGACAAUAACUAUAAGUUUUGAUAUUGUCAGUAAUCAAAUCAACAAAUCAAACUAAGUGACUUUUAUGUUAGAAAUGUUAAGCACGUACCAAGUUCAUCCAACUCAACCACCAGUGGCUGAACACCAAGUCUCUUGAACAAUGUCUUCACUUCAGAACAGUAUCUUCAAUAAACACACCCAACACCACACAUAUUGUCAACCAAAAGCAACAACAUUAAGAUCUCAAGAACAGCAUAAUUUAAGAGAAAUUUGAUGAGAAGUGGAACGUACGGGCACCAAGUUUUCGAGUAAACAACGACUGUGUUAUCAUUCACCGUUUUCUUCACGCUCUCCUCCAUCCCCGAUUCGAAUGACGAAGAAGACAUGGCUCGAACAGAACACGUCUGCUUUAGACAUUUCUUGAGAGGAGAUCCCACGGAGUUUCUGAUACCGAAGCUUAUCAGAGACACCGAAUAAGAAGUUGAAGAGGAGAUUGAAGGAAACGAAUCUCGAGGCGAAGAUGCAAGUUUCAGAGGGUUGAAAGCUGUGACUGCCAUGGCUGUUUUCUGACCCUUAGGAUUCUGGGAAAGCCGACAGAUUCUUGGAGCUUAUCGUUUGCGUGGUACUUGUUGUCUCUCCUACGACCGUACUCAAUGGGCCUUAAUGGGCUUUACUUCUGUACAAUUUUGUUUUGUUUAAUUAAUGGUUCUAUCCACUAAUGGGCCUUAUACCCUCAAAUCCAUACCCGCGAACAAUAGACGCACACUUCUUAAGAAAUACUAUAUUUGCUUCUUUUUUUUAACAGCAUUUGCUUUUUUUUUUUAAUUGGGGUUUUAUCUUAAAAUAUAUAACAUUUUAUUUUUUUUAUAAUAACUUGCGGCUUAAACUUUUUAUUUUUAUACAAUUGAAUCAAAAAUUAGUCAGAAAAUUGUAAAUUUUUUAGAGUUUUCUUAUAAUUCGUUUUGAUGAAUGUUUAUGAAAAAAAAAUUGAAUUGAACGUCUAGGUGUAUUCGAAGUUCGAACAUUGUAGAGCCUAUUAUAUUUUGGCAAGGCAGCAAGUCAGAUAUUUAUUUAUUGCUGUUCCUUCCAUCGACUUCUUGUAAUUUUUACAUUGCGAAUACAAUCUUUUACCAAGUUCUUUUGGCAAGUUUUAUAGUUGUUAAUUCGCGUGUGCAUAUUUCAUUCAUUAUGAUCAAGAGUGUAAACUGUCUAAUCACAUGUUCAUAUCUACUGACAAUUGUAUGUGAUUCCUGCAUGUGGACCAGUUGAUCAUUUGGACUUUGGCUAGCUCCGAUGCUUUAUCUGACUUGAAAUUUGCCAAAAGAAAAAAAAAAUCUUUACCAGAAAAUAUGCUCACCACCACAAUUAGUCGAACGUUUUGGCGAAACACAACUAUUAAAUCCAAAAAAUUUGUCGUUUACAGGAAGAUGCCAUAUCAAAAAAAAAAUCGUGAGAAAGUUGAGAUUUUAAAGAAACAACUCAUCUAUGGACCUACCUUGAUAAGAUCAUGUGGGGACUUUUGACUAGUUGUAACGUCAUGGGUUCGAAUUAUUUCAUUGUUACUCGUUUUGUUAUUUGUCUAGAUCCCACCAACAUCUUCUUCAUUCAUUUAUAGCCCAAAUCUUUGUUCUACUGACAUGCAUCUACAUAUAGUAUAUCUGAACACAUUUGAUAUGUACAUGAUAUAUAUAUUAAUAUUAUAUAUAAGCACACACAGUAAGAUAACCCACUUUAAGUAUAAACAAUUGUAUCACAAAACAGGCAAGAAGAAUUGGUAAGUAUCCUAACUUGUUCGAUUUCUUGUACUGUGUAUAUACAGUAUAACCUCUCUAAAUUACUACUCUAUAAAUUAAUAUACACUAAAAAUCUCUAUAAAAUAAUAUAAUUUUAUAGUCCCAAAUUAAGUUUUUGGUUCGAUUAGUAUAUCGAUAAAUUAAUAUCUCUAUAAAUUAAUAAAAAAAUUAUAGUUUUGGUGUAGUCCCAACAUUAUUAAUUUAUAGAGGUUUCACUGUAUGUAUAUUCAAGAUUGGCAAUUGGCUCAAAUGAAAUGAUUAAAAAAAUCAGGGUAUAUGUAUCAUACCGGCUUCGAGUAUAUAUUUCAGGUAUUAAAAUAAUGUAUAAAAUUAGAGUUUAAGACUCCUAUAUAAAAAUUUAGGUGUUGACUAAAAACAUAGAAGUUUUAGGUUGAGCUUGAAUAUCAAAACCCACAUAGAAAUUUUGUUUUUUUUUUUUUGUCAAAAGAAAUUUUGUUUAGUAUAUCAAUUCUGCACCCAUAUAUAUCUAUCACUUCAGAGACCUGAUUUUCUGGAUAUUUUCAGAUUUUCUCAAGGUGACCAAGAUUGAGAGAAAGAAAUUGUGAAAAUAAAUCUUUAAUGUAAAUGAGGAAGAAGAGUUAGUUAAGCCCUUUCUCAAAAAAGAAAAAAGAGGAGUUAGUUUAAAUACAUGUAAAUCACUCUGGACUAAACCAACUAUUUAACCAUACUAAACCAGCUAUAUACACACACUAUUAGAUAUCUAUCAAAAAAAUCGGAAAGAACUGAAAUGGUUCGGAACUAAAAUGUUCACACAAACACAAUUUCUUAUAUACUAAAGCACAAGUCACACAACCAAUCCUAUUUUGCCACAUGUUUUAAGUUUCAUUUAUCAAAAAAAGUUAAAAAGAAAAAAAAUUGAAACACAGCAGUUUUUGUCAUCUAUAUUUCCAACGAAAAGAAAGAACAAAAUUUUUGUAUUCCUUGCCACGAUCUCCACCUCCUCAUCCUACAUUAAAAUCAGUUAUUCAACAAAUUUGUUUAAUGGUUUCAAACAGUUUAAUUUCUUCAAUGAGGUAACUGAUGCUUUAAUCUCUCCCAUAAUUUUAUUUUGAUAUCGACAACAUCCUAUCCUCUUUCUUUUUCUUUUCUGGAUGAAUUUUCAAUCUGAUGGUGGCUUUAUAGUAAAUGAGUAAGUGAUAAAGUAUCUUAAUUCCAGCAAUUAAUUAUGUUUCGUCGUACGGUUUGCAUUCCUUAUGUUUUUGUUUUUUUAUUUCCUUUUUUUUGCAGAGGAAUCAUCACUGUUUUCAACGUAGAAAAUGAUUCCCAGCUUAAAACAAAGAAAACAUGUUUAAAUUGAAGUCUACAACGAUUGAAGAAAAAUUAAAGGGAAAGGAGACAACUUACACGAAGACUCUCAACCCACAUGUCAUAUGCAAAACCUUUUAAUUAUUCAAAGAAGGCAUAAAACAAAACCUUGACGACUAAAUUUGUUUCUUUUUAAACAAUAGUUAGUGUUGUAAACAUUGUAUGGUUGACCAAUUAUUAAAUAUCUAAUUUGUAAAACUCUUAAAUGACUAAUUUUGGACAGUAAUUUAUAUAAUAAAUAUCAAGGGAUUAACAUAUAUAAAUAUAUCUAGAUAUGGUUGAGGUGAAUUCGUUAAAAUAAAAAUAAAAUAUUAUAAAUAAUUAUUUAAGUAUGCUUACAUCUACAAUAAUAUUGGUCAACCAAGUAUACUAUCUAAAGUAUGCAAUUUUUUAAUAUACUUAAAUAUCAUGUUAUCAUAAUUUAUUUUCUUCCGAUUAUUCAAAUUUACUUUUACUAAAUUAAACUAAAAAAAGGUUUUUGUUAUCAAUUAAAGAUAAGAAAAAAAACAAUGAAUUAAAUACCCGAGCGUAGCUCUGGUGAAAUAUACUAGUAUACAUAAUAUAAUGUGUGUAGGGUUGCAGGUACAAGAAAAAAGUGAUACAAAGACAUGGGCGCACGCGCUAGUGAUUUAUUAGAGCAACAUUAUUGCCGACAAAAUGUUGGUAUCUUAGCAUUUUUUAUUAUUAUUUUUAGAGAAAGAGACAAUGUUAAGAUACAAUAGAAAAUGUGUAAAUUAUUGGUAGAUACUUAUGGUGUCUCUUAGUAAAUAAAUUAUUUAUUUUAAUAAGUAAUAACAUAUAAAAGAUGUGUUUAAAAUAAAACAUACUCCCUCUGUUUUUUAUUAGAUGAUGUUUUAGUACAAAACACACAUAUUAAGGAAAAUAUUAUUUAUGUUCAAAACACUUGAUUAGAGAAAACACACAGAUUAAGGAAAAAAUUAUUUAUAUUCAAAACACUUGAUUAGAGAGACAAAAGUAAUGCUACUCACAGAGCAGAACACAAACAGUCACACGACAUCUUUUAGUGUCUUAAUUUAAUUUGGAGUCAAAUUUUACAAGCAUGAAGUUAAUUUAAUUUGUCUUUUAUUUUUUCUUCUUUUACUUUUUCCCAUUGAUCCAUUUUUUUAGAAAAAAUGCAUGGUUUUCUAUUAGUGUAGUCGUUGUUUUUAUAAAUGUACAAAAAAUUAUGAGAAGAAUCAAUGUUGGAUUAAAGAAGGUAAUUAAACUAUUGUUGCUUUCAUCGUUAACUGUACAUAAAUAUUGGAAAGAACAAUUAAUCAAUUUAAAAAUUAAUAAGCAUGAGUAUUUUAUUAGUUAUUACUUUAAAAGUCUCAAAACUUCAUCUAAUUUGAAACAAAAUUAUCUUCCUAAAACAUCAUCUAAUUAGAAAUAGAGGGAGUAUAACAUUAAAAUUGAAAACAUAAGAAAAUUACAAAGUUGCAAAAAAAAAACAAAAAAAAACUUACAAUUAAAACAUUAAAAUUUUUAAAAGAAAAAAUUCAAUACAUAAAUUAAAAACAUGAAACAUACAAACAUCAUAAAUAAAAGCAAACAAACAUUUUAUUCAAUUCAUAAAAACUUCAACAUUAUAUGUUAUUUGGAAGAUGUCCAAAUAGCCCAUAUAUUUUCAAUCAAAUCAUCUUUUAAUUGUUGAUGGGUUUGUCCAAUCCGAACUCUUGUUCGACGAUCAAUUGUGUUGCCGAAAUUUGUAGCCAUAUCGACGGAAUAUGUAAGAUCCACACCUUCUCCUUGUUGAAAUUCUAAAACAUCAUAUUGAGUGUAUGAAUCUUGUUCAUCUUCGACAAUCAUAUUAUGGAGUAUGAUACAUGCUCUCAUAAUAUUUGCUAUUUUGUAUUUAUCCCAUAAAUUAGAUGGAUUUUUAACAACGACGAAUCUAGCUUGCAUGACUCCAAAGGCACGCUCAACAUCUUUUCGCACAGCUUUUUGGGUUUUAGCAAAUAAUGAAUUUUUGGACACUGUGGUAGUCGGAUAAAUUGAAUAAAAGUUGUCCAUUUCAGAUAAAUAUCAUAUGUGAGAUAGUAAGUCAAAUGGUACUCCCUUCCGUUGACAUAAAAGUUGACUUGCGGAGCUAUUCCGUUAAUAAUGUCAUCAAAAACAAGUGAUCGAUCAAGAAUAUUAAGUUCGUUCAUAGUACCUGGAGUUCCAAAAAACGCGUGCCAUAUCCAGAGGUUGUAUGAAGCUACCGCCUCCAACACAAUUGUUGGUUUUCCGGUUCCUCGUGACUACAUUCAUUUCCAAGAGAUGGGACAAUUCUUCCACCCCCAAUGAAUAAAGUCGAUGCUUCCAACCAUCCCGGGAAACGUUGUUCUCCAAUAUGGAGCAGUCUUUCAAGAUCCUCCGGUGUGGGAUGUCUUAGGUAUUCAUCGCCAAACAAGUGGAUUAUUCUGGCGGUAAAAUGGUGCAAACAUUUUCGAGCUGUUGUUUCAUCAAAUCGUACAUAUUCGUCAAUUGUAACAUCCCCACCACCAUAUGCUAAUUGACGAAUUGAUGCAGUACAUUUUUGGAGCGGUGAUAGACUAAAUCGUCCAACUGCAUCUUGUGUUGGUUGAAAAUACUCUACUUCUGUAGAGACACGAUGCACAAUACGCAUAACCAAAGUCUAAUCAGAAGUUAUUACAUAGUACACAACUAAAAAACUAUCAAGUAUCCUUUACAAGUUCAUUAAAUUAAAAGGGGAUUUGGUUUCAAACAAACUUCUCUUCAAUCAGACUAGGGAAUUCAUUUUAGUAACUUUUCAUUAAAUUAAAAGAGGAUUUGGUUGCAAACAACCUUCACUUCAAUUAGAUUUAUCAAUUCAUUUUAGCAACUAUCUAGCACAAAUGCGUAACACCUAUCUAACUAAGCAUUAGCCACUACAGUCAAAUCUCAAGCAAGUAACCACUACCUAUAAUUGGAGCUAAAAUUAACAACUAUUGGAGCUCUAUUGAAUGUGAAUUACCUUGUACUUUGGAGGAAAUUGUUGUUCUUGUCGAUUAAAGAGUUAAAGAGUUAUAUCUAACAAUGUAACAAUAAACCAUUGACUUGAUUACAAUAUAUGCAAAUAGCAAACCAUUAGUCUUUAACAACUUAACAAAUGCCAGUUUCAUCGAAGAAGGAACAUUAUUUUCAUUACAACUUCACCAUAUUUUUACACAGACGACAAAGACGAAACAAGAUUUUGAAAACGCUAAAUCUACACUAAUUUUCAAUUUAAUUUACUCAAACACCAAGCAUACAAUCACAAACGACAAUCAUAUCAUCACAACAAAAAGCAACCAAACCCAGAUACGGGGGAGGUAGAUCGACAAUGACAACAACAUCCUCUAAAUCUCAAAACGGAGGAAGAACACAUACCUUGUUUAGAUUGGACUCGGCGGACAAGCUUUGGAUGAGACAACAUAUCGGUGUGGAGUGAGGGAAAUAAACGAGAGGAUUUCGAUUUGGGGAUGAAAUCGGCAGACAAGCUAUGGCGAAAGGUUUCGCCGUCAAGAGAGAAUAGGGAGAAGAUGAAAGUGAAUUCGAGACUGCAAAUCGACUUUGUCCUACACGAUUAAGACACCCAAUCACAUGAUGCCAGAUGGCACUUAAAGACGAGUGUGAAAACUUCUUAAUUAAGCUCCGUUUCUAUUGUUUUUCAAUAUUUUUGAUCUAAUUUUGGAUCUAUAAAUACUAAGAAAUGAGCCUAAGACCCGGGGACAGUCUUGCUUUUAGUAGCCAAAUCGGAUCAUAGUGCUGGUGUUCAUCUUUAUUUUGAUGUGAUAGCAACUAUUAAAUAUGGGAUGUUAAUGUUAUAUUGUAUCUGUAUAAAUCUAUGAUGGGUCCGGGUCGAUAAUGAUUAGGCUUAAGAAAUGAGUCCAAACCGUAAAAAGAAGGUAAUAUUCAAAAAUCUAGUCGAGCCUAAAAGAGUUUCUUCUUAAUUAAUGUUUUCUUUUGAAUUCUUAAUAGAAUGGUUAUAAUAAUGGUGACAAGGAUGAACACACAAACAUUGUAGCCUCUUCCUCAUGAGAUUUUCACCAGAUGUAGAUGCAGUAUCUAACUUAUACAGAGGCUAGCUAUUAAGAUUUUGUAAAGAAAAAAUUAGUUGUAUCUUGAACUAUGACAGUGUAUAUAAGUCGAUUGAGGUUUCUUUUGUGUUCUUUGUUUAAGGUAAGUAUCACUUUAUUACUCCCUAUUUUGACUUUUUCUUGGGUUCACCCCAUAGGGUGAACCUUUAGGUUCACCAACUAAUAGAAAAUUGUCAUUUUAGAUCUAGUAUCUUUUAAUUAAGGAAACAAAAUAAUUUGCCAAAUUAUAUUAUGCUUUUAAAAUAAAAAAUAAAAGAUUAAAUAAAUAAAAAUAGCAAUAGUUCUAAAAAAAGAUUAUUUAAAAAAAAUAUUUGUUUUUAAGAUUUAGAGUUUAGUGUUUAAGAUUUAUAAUUUAGAAUUUAUCCAAAUGUUUAGUGUUUUUCCAAGGGUUUAGGGUUUACCUAAGGGUUUAGGGUUUACCCAAGGGUUUAGGGUUUAUGAGCCUAAAACGCAAUACUAAUGGAUACUUCGAAGUUCUAACUAAUAAAAAGACAUUAUGACAAUAACUAUAAGUUUUGAUAUUGUCAGUAAUCAAAUCAACAAAUCAAACUAAGUGACUUUUAUGUUAGAAAUGUUAAGCACGUACCAAGUUCAUCCAACUCAACCACCAGUGGCUGAACACCAAGUCUCUUGAACAAUGUCUUCACUUCAGAACAGUAUCUUCAAUAAACACACCCAACACCACACAUAUUGUCAACCAAAAGCAACAACAUUAAGAUCUCAAGAACAGCAUAAUUUAAGAGAAAUUUGAUGAGAAGUGGAACGUACGGGCACCAAGUUUUCGAGUAAACAACGACUGUGUUAUCAUUCACCGUUUUCUUCACGCUCUCCUCCAUCCCCGAUCCGAAUGACGAAGAAGACAUGGCUCGAACAGAACACGUCUGCUUUAGACAUUUCUUGAGAGGAGAUCCGACGGAGUUUCUGAAACCGAAGCUUAUCAGAGACACCGAAUAAGAAGUUGAAGAGGAGAUUGAAGGAAACGAAUCUCGAGGCGAAGAUGCAAGCUUCAGUGGGUUGAAAGCUGUGACCGCCAUGGCUAUUUUCUGACCCUUAGGAUUCUGGGAAAGCCGACAGAUUCUUGGAGCUUAUCGUUUGCGUGGUACUUGUUGUCUCUCCGACGACCGUACUCAAUGGGCCUUAAUGGGCUUUACUUCUGUAUAAUUUUGUUUUGUUUAAUUAAUGGUUCUCGCCACUAAUGGGCCUUAUACCCUCAAAUCCAUACCCGCGAACAAUAGAUGCACACUUAAGGAAUACUAAAAUUUGCUUCUUUUUUAACAACAUUUGCUUUUUAUUUAUUUAUUGGGGUUUUAUCUUAAAAUAUAUAACAUUUUUUUUAUAAUAACUUGCGUCUUAAACUUUUUAUGUUUAUAUAAUUGAAUCAAAAAUUAGUCAGAACAAUUGUAAAUUUUUUAGAGUUUUCUUAUAAUUCGUUUUGAUGAAUGUUUAUGAAAAAAAUAAUUGAAUUGAACGUCUAGGUGUAUUCGAAGUUCGAACAUUGUAGAGCCUAUUAUAUUUUGGCAAGGCAGCAAGUCAGAUAAUUAUUUAUUGCUGUUCCUUCCAUCGACUUCUUGUAAUUUUUACAUUGAGAAUACAAUCUUUUACCAAGUUCUUUUGGCAAGUUUUAUAGUUGUUAAUUCGCGUGUGCAUAUUUCAUUCAUUAUGAUCAAGAGUGUAAACUGUCUAAUCACAUGUUCAUAUCUACUGACAAUUGUAUGUGAUUCCUGCAUGUGGACCAGUUGAUCAUUUGGACUUUGGCUAGCUCCGAUGCUUUAUCUGACUUGAAAUUUGCCAAAAGAAAAAAAAAAUCUUUACCAGAAAAUAUGCUCACCACCACAAUUAGCCGAACGUUUUGGCGAAACACAACUAUUAAAUCCAAAAAAUUUGUCGUUUACACGAAGAUGCCAUAACAAAAAAAAAAUCGUGAGAAAGUUGUGAUUUUAAAGAAACAACUCAUCUAUACCCGCUCCAAAAAUAUACCCGCCCUUGAAAGGGCGGGUCAAAAUCUAGUAUUAUGUUUAAAACUACGACAGUAAUAGUAUUUAUAUAUUUUGGUUUGUGUAUUAUGUAAUAUGAACAAGAUUACGACUAAAGAUGGUUAUGAAACAAAGGAUGAUACGCCCAAAUGUCUUUUUUUUUCCUGACGAUACAUAGUACUUGUAACUUAAUAUCUUAUGAUAAUUUUGAGGCCCUAGUGUGCCUUUUAAUAUAGAGAUUUUACUGUCACGGGAAAACUACAUAAAUCACAGACAAGCCAUAGUAGUCCACCCACGUGUUUAGCCCACAGUUUCAUCAUUCCCACCGGUUCACAACACCGGUAUCAAACUAGACCAUCGAAUUAUUAUCAGCUUCGUAGAAUUUAAGUCACACUAAUACCAAAUUUAUGUCUAAUCGUUCCUUAUUUUGCUUUGUCACAAUGAAAAUUAUGGCGGUGAUUAUAAGGUUAAAACGACGUGACGAUGUAGGGUCCACUAAACAGCGUAACCAACCAAUCACCUAAGUUGGGGACAGGCCAGUUGGAAUUUGUAUUUUUAAAAUAACUGUUGUCCAAACGUGUAAUCUCUCCAUUUUUGUAAUAAUGCUAAUGACUAGGAAUAUAAUAAGAGACGAGACAAAACAAAAUUAUAUACUCGAAAGUUAAUACAACUAGUCUUUGAUUAUCUGCCCUGUUAUAUUUCUUAUGGCAAUCACUUGUGUUUCGCAUAUUGAUACGUAAUGGUCUUAAGAGUUGGUAAAUAGAUGAACUGAACAAUGUGGAUACGCCUAAUCAAAUUAACCGGGUUUAGAGAUCAGUUAAGUACAAGAAAGAAAAAAUAAAAUAAGAAGUACAAGAAAAAUAGAGAGAUUUGAUUGAUGCAUUAUUACUGAUCUUAAUAAGGGUUUGUGAUUCGUCUUUGUCGUGUAUUGUCUAUUACUGUACUACAGCAUUAUAAAUUAUAACGUGUACAGUUUGGUGCAAGAGCUUUUAGGAACGUUUUACCAAGUUGGUGGAGAAUAUCCAACGUUAGGGAGCAAUUUUGUAGCUAGAAUUGCCUAGAAACCAGCUAGGUUUGGCUUGAAUAAGCAUACACUAAGUAAGAACAAAUGAUGGUAAGAUUCAGUUGCAAAGUUGUAACUUGUUUUGCUGUGUUUACAAAAGGACUUGCAUUAACGCAUCUGACAGAACAAAAAAUAGCCACAACAUAAAAAAUAAAUGCAAACGCAUGAUUAUCAAGGAAAAUACGAGUAUCAAAGUGAUGUUGAAAUAUGCAUAAUAUAUAAGCAAUUGACUGUAGUUUUAAUUAAUAGUCAAAGAACCAACCAUCAGGUCCAUCACUUCAUUUGUUUGUUUAUAUAUUAUAUCAGUUAAUUCAUAAUAUAGAUGCCGGGACAGAAUAGCCUAGUGGUAACACUAGAGUGAACUGGAUCCCAAGGCACCUGGGUUCGAGUCCUCUGGGAUUCCGGCAUUAUCCUUGAGAACGAUAUGUAAUGUACACGUGUCAGAUCUCAAGAGGAGGGAAACGAUUUUGUCUAACUCAAAAACAUCUAUCACCUCUUUUCUUAGCCGAGCAGAUUACAAACCAAGAAAACAAUCUAAGAACUCACACUUUCCUGUCUGAACAACAACAACAAGAAGCAAAAAAGAAUCCCCAAAGAUGGCGAUGAUGUCAGCAUCUUCAGCCUUUGUUUUGACGUCCAACGUCACGGCGUCCGCAGGCGUUUCCUCGUCCAGGAACUCCGUGUCUUUCUUACCGAUGAGAAACGCUGGCUCUAGACUCGUAGUCAGAGCAGCUGAAGAUGCGGCUCCGGAAACAUCUUCUUCAGAAGGUGCUCCAGCAACUGCCGUAGCUCCGGCUGGAGCCACUGCCACCAAACCCAAGCCGCCUCCGAUCGGCCCUAAGAGAGGGUCCAAGGUCAGUUAUCCUAAGCCAUCUUUGCAUCUACUAACAUGCACAUACAUACGCCAAAUUUACAUAUCGAAAUCGAUGAUGGGUUUGUAUUAUUAUUUGUGUUACUUUGAUAUUGUUUGUAUUAUUAUUUGUGUUACUUUGAUAUUAUAUAUAUUUUUGGUGUAAUACUUAUAAUUUUUAUUGGCAAAUGGUAACUGAAAUGGAGGAAUAACAAAACCACUAUGCACA